CAUGCAGAUUACCUGAUAACUGAUUUCUCUUUGGAAAUCAUAAUUCCACCAAAGAUUGAAAGUUGAUUUUUGCUCUUUUAAGGGAAUUCGGCCAAUUAAGGCUUAUAAUAGUUGUGUAGGAAAAAGAUUUUGCCAAAUUCAAGAUGCAAUUUCUGUGAAUUAAUGAUUCUUCCUUCCUCCUUCUCACCCUUGUUCUGAAUGUGAUCUAGUCUUUGUAAGGGGGAUUUGAGAGCUCAGCUCCUAUCAUCCUGGCCUAGUCUUGGAGCAUCUGGUCUUUUCUGUCUUCUGAUGCUUCCUGGACCCCUGUGUGUCUUCCUGUGAGCUCUGGAUCCACAGCUCAUGUAACCUGUGGUCUGUUCUCUCCAACAGGGUCAAUAUACAGAGUUGUGCCCACCCCACCGUCUCACUCCUUGACUCUGUGCUGUGACUGGUCCUCAAAGACUCAGGGCAUCUUCUAUCUCUUCUCAUUGCCUUCUGCACCUUGCACCCUUAGCUGUGGAGUCCCCUAAGUCUUUUUUUUUUUUAAUUUUUUUAAUUUUAUUUAUUUAUGAUAGUCACAUAGAGAGAGAGAGAGAGGCAGAGACAUAGGCAGAGGGAGAAGCAGGCUCCAUGCACCGGGAGCCUGACGUGGGAUUCGAUCCCGGGUCUCCAGGAUCGCGCCCUGGGCCAAAGGCAGGCGCCAAACCGCUGCGCCACCCAGGGAUCCCCCCCUAAGUCUUUAUUACAAGAAUUCUCUGGCCAGAACACUAACCCUCAAUUCCUAGGCAACAUCGGUGUCUCCCAUGAGGGCCCUGGGAACGUCGCUGGCUCCGUUUCACUGGAAUAUUGAGGUGGAACAGGUACUGGGCUUUCUCAGGUCCUGUCCUCCAUGUAUGUCACACUGUCACUUCUGUCCUACGACAGGGUGUUCCCCUUCAGGAUUCCAGUCGAAAGAAGAGGGACAUUCUCCUGAUAUGGAACUCACAAAAUUUAUCCAGGACUUUUAGUGCUCCUGAAACUCAUUGGGGCCUUCCACCAAGAGCAAGCUGUGAGAGCCCAGAUCGCACACCACCAUCCAUACAUCUUUUCCUUCUUCUCUCGACCUCUGCACACCUCUUCAGCCGAGACUGGGAUCAGGAAAGGAAUUAUAGGAACCUCCUGAGACGUAAAAUUGGCUUAAAGUUGACCGAGGACUUGGGCAGAAAUGAUGUACAUUACUAG
rnacentral:lncRNA from 12 species